GUCUAGAGGAAAUAGCCUGAACCUCAAGUUGAUAGAAAAAAAUCAAGAAAAAGCAAUUUUUAGUGAAAAAGGGAGAAAGAAAGAAGUUAUUUCAUGAAACAAGUGGAUCCUCUUUUCAAGAGUAUUGUUUGCCAUUUGUAUGUUUUAAAUCUUUGUUCAACUAUCUUUUAGGAAGUUUUUAUGAAAUAAAAACAACCCAUGUUCCUGUUUGACUGUAUUUACCAGCAGAGUUGUUGGAGAAAGAACUGUAUCAAUUGUUCUCUCUGUGUCUCCACUGGUUUUUUGUCUCAUGGCAUUCAGAGUAUGGAUGCUUGGAGGAAAUCUACCACAUUUUACACUUCAGGACAACCCUACCUCAUUUUCAGACUGUCUCAGUUCUCGCAUCAUGACUUACUCAUAUCUGAUUGCAUUCAACUCUUGGUUGCUUUUAUCACUGAGUGUGUUGAGCUAUGAUUGGCAGAUGGGAAGCAUACCUCUUGUGGAAUCGCUGAUGGCUCCCAAAACUUAGGCACACUGAUGUUUGCCAUAAUAGCUGUUCUUCUGGUUUAUUUUGCUGUGUUCUCCAAUGAUACCCUGGUAAACAGUGGUUUCUAAAUACAUCUGCAUUUCACUUCAAUCAUACUGACUUUUGUUAAACAUAGGCAUGCUCUGUUAUUUUUUGGAUGGGUGGAUGAAUUGAAACAUUUUAAGUGAUGUCUACAUUUUUACAAAAGGAAAGAGUAUUAUAACAGAAAAAAACAGGAAUGUUGAGUAAACUCAGACACAGGUAUUUUUUGGUUGAUUGUAUGUGUUGUGCGAAUAACUGUAACCAAAAAUAAACUGUAUUGGUGCCACAGAUA